rnacentral:rRNA from 1 species
UACGGAGGGUGCGAGCGUUGUCCGGAAUCACUGGGCGUAAAGGGCGCGUAGGCGGCCUGAUAAGUAGGGGGUGAAAUCCUGCGGCUUAACCGCAGGGCUGCCUUCUAAACUGUCAGGCUGGAGCACAGUAGAGGCAGGUGGAAUUCCCGGUGUAGCGGUGGAAUGCGUAGAGAUCAGGAAGAACACCAGUGGCGAAGGCGCUCUGCUAGGCCGUAACUGACACUGAGGGACGAAAGCUAGGGGAGCGAAUGGG